GCCGAGCUCUGUAGCGAGAGCUUGUAACCCGAGCGGGGGCAUCAAGAUGGUCGAACAUUGGUUCAAUUCCGACAGGCAGGAUCAGGUGGAGUAAUUUGCUGGCACGCCCGUUCCAAGUAGGGAGUUGAGCUACGGAACUUGAGCGAAAGCUUGAGCUUCAUUCAUGGUUCUUAGAGCGGAGGGCACCGCGUCAGGCUGGUUUCACAGAGCGGCGACAGCCUCCCGCUCCCGUCGGUGGAAGGAUUACGAGCCGGUACUCCCCUCAUCCACUCAUUGCCCUAGGGGUCGAGUCCAAUUGGACGAUCACUUUU
rnacentral:SRP_RNA from 1 species